UACGAAGGGGGCUAGCGUUGCUCGGAAUGACUGGGCGUAAAGGGCGCGUAGGCGGUUUGUACAGUCAGGUGUGAAAUUCCCGGGCUCAACCUGGGAAUGGCAUUUGGGACUGCAAGGCUCGAGUGCGGCAGAGGAGACUGGAAUUCCUGGUGUAGCAGUGAAAUGCGUAGAUAUCAGGAGGAAUACCGAUGGCGAAGGCAGGUCUCUGGGCUGACACUGACGCUCAUGCACGAAAGCGUGGGGAGCAAACAGG
rnacentral:rRNA from 1 species